rnacentral:lncRNA from 1 species
UGGGGGAUUUUAUUCCUUCUCCUUGAUAUGUGCUGUGAAGGAAAGUAUUAGAAGUAAUUCUACCUUCCAUCCUCAAGGACCAGUGUGAAUUCUAAUACCAUGACUUUGGAAUUGCAUGGAAUACUCACCACCCUAAAGAAGUGCUAGAUUUUUGUGUUUUCACCUGUUCCCUUUUUUGGGAUGGAACAAAACAAUGCACUUCAAAGGUAUGCCACUAGCUGAGUUUUGUAUGAAAGCAUAUAUUCCUUUUUCUUGCAAGGUGACAUGAAGGAAAGUAAUGACAUUAAUUGUACCAUAUCAUCCUGAAGAGGCAGUAGAAGCUGUAACAUCAAUAAGCAUUUUGUCCUGAAAAUACUGGCAUUCCUUUAGGGCAUUGGAACACUCAUAUAACAACAAGACUCUGGCUGUGCUAGUUAGUCAUCGAGCUGUCAUCAACUCUGAUGACUCCUUUCUGUUAUUGAAUAUCAUGGAUCAGUGUGUCUGAAGGUAUCAAAACCUGAGUGCUCAGCAUCUGCCACAUAUUUUAAGAUCAAAGUCCCUU